GAUGAACGCUGGCGGCGUGCUUAACACAUGCAAGUCGAACGAUGAAGCCCAGCUUGCUGGGUGGAUUAGUGGCGAACGGGUGAGAAACACGUGAGUAACCUGCCCUUAACUCUGGGAUAAGCCUGGGAAACUGGGUCUAAUACCGGAUAGGAGCGUCCACCGCAUGGUGGGUGUUGGAAAGAUUUAUCGGUUUUGGAUGGACUCGCGGCCUAUCAGCUUGUUGGUGAGGUAAUGGCUCACCAAGGCGACGACGGGUAGCCGGCCUGAGAGGGUGACCGGCCACACUGGGACUGAGACACGGCCCAGACUCCUACGGGAGGCAGCAGUGGGGAAUAUUGCACAAUGGGCGCAAGCCUGAUGCAGCGACGCCGCGUGAGGGAUGACGGCCUUCGGGUUGUAAACCUCUUUCAGUAGGGAAGAAGCGAAAGUGACGGUACCUGCAGAAGAAGCACCGGCUAACUACGUG
rnacentral:rRNA from 1 species